UACGGGGGGGGCAAGCGUUGUUCGGAAUUACUGGGCGUAAAGGGCUCGUAGGCGGCCAACUAAGUCAGACGUGAAAUCCCUCGGCUUAACCGGGGAACUGCGUCUGAUACUGGAUGGCUAGAGGUUGGGAGAGGGAUGCGGAAUUCCAGGUGUAGCGGUGAAAUGCGUAGAUAUCUGGAGGAACACCGGUGGCGAAAGCGGCAUCCUGGACCAAUUCUGACGCUGAGGAGCGAAAGCCAGGGGAGCAAACGGG
rnacentral:rRNA from 1 species